rnacentral:rRNA from 1 species
UAUUUAUUUUAUUAUAUUUAUUUUUUGUUUAUUUAAUUAUUUAAUAAAAAUAAUUUUGUUGAAUUUUGUCUUAGUAUAUUUUGUAGAAUUGAUUUUUUAUAUUAUAGUUUAUUGGUAAUGUAAUUGUUUUAUGAAAUAUUAUUUUAAAUUUUUAAAAGUAGAUUUUAUUUAUUGUACCUUUUGUAUCAGGGUUUAUCAAAAUUUUAGUAUUUACUUUACUUGUCUCGAUUUGGGUUGAUUUAUAAAUAAUUUAUAGUUAAUGUAUCAUAAUUCUUAUUAAAUUAUUUAUAGAAAUGAGAUGUUAACCGUUUCCCAAGAUAUCUAGUUUCUUAAGAAAAAAUUUAAUUUUUUAAAGUUAAUUGUUUUUAUUUAAUUUUUUAAGUAUAAAUAUUAACUUAUUUAUUCUUUAAGGGAUAAGCUUUGAAGUUAAUAACCUAUAAUUUGUUUUAAUAAAAUAUAAUAGUAAGCUUUAAACCAGCUAUCUUUAAGAUUACGUUUUAGUUCAUUAUUUUUAUUUUUGAUUUUAUAACUAUUUUAGGUUUUUUAUUAAGAUUAUAAAUUUAAUUUUUAAAUUUUUGUAAUAAUGAUAGAAUUAGUAUAUUUAUUUGGAUAUAAUUUUUACCCUGUUAAUUUAUUAUAAGGAACUAGGC